GGUCCAUCAGAUGAUUUAGAUGAUAGAAAGAAGAGAUGGUUAGUUGUCGGGAUCUGUCUCCAUACAAUCAUAUCUCCCAUGCAGAGGACAUUUGUUGUGCCCGUUGUUACGAAACUUUGUUAUUCACUAACAAACCGGAACAACAUUCAUAAGCGAACUUAUGCAAGUUAUCUAAAGAGAUAUGCUCCUACCAACACAGACCUAAAUUAUCAAGCUAUUAACAGCAACAAAACUAAUUAUAAAAGGAAUAAAGCACAAUAUGAUUACACAGUCAAAAGCUUUUGAUGACACCUGUGACUCAUCUGCAUUGCUUGGAAUCAUUGUAAACAUCGACAGAUUCCCAAACGAUGUUCAAUAUGAUGCUGAACAGAUACGGUCAAAAUACGUAAUCCCUGGGCUCAUUGUGACUUCAGUAAAUGGGAUGCUACAAAAUAUGCAGAUUCAUUCCAGUUGAUGGAACAACUUGUGAAACACCUUCUUCUUAGUAACAGGGAAGAAAAUAGAGUCUUGGGAGAACUAAAUAAAUGGGCAACAAACGGUCAGAACUUUCUAAGUGGCAAGACACUGGGUUUAGAGAUAGUGGAAGAAAUACGUCAA